UACCAGCACCCCGAGUGGUCGGGACGUUUAUUGGGCCUAAAGCAUCCGUAGCCGGUUCUACAAGUCUUCCGUUAAAUCCACCUGCUUAACAGAUGGGCUGCGGAAGAUACUAUAGAGCUAGGAGGCGGGAGAGGCAAGCGGUACUCGAUGGGUAGGGGUAAAAUCCGUUGAUCCAUUGAAGACCACCAGUGGCGAAGGCGGCUUGCCAGAACGCGCUCGACGGUGAGGAUGAAAGCUGGGGGAGCAAACCGG
rnacentral:rRNA from 1 species